UCUGCUUGAAAUUGUAAAUUGUACUUGUACAUAUGUGAUACAUGAGAAGGGCUGGUUUUGGUUAUGGUUAGAAUUUUCUUAGCUGCUUGGUUUAGGGUUGUUCUUAUCUUUCUUAAUGUUGAGUGUAUAGUCUGAGAACAGCACCGAUAAAUAAGAAAUAUACUUUGCAGAUUAGAAACUUGGAUCUGGAAUGAUUGAUAUAAGUGGAAGCCUAUAAACUUCUUGUUAAGCAUAAUAAGGAAUUUAAACUUGCCCUGCUAAAUACUUAUUGAUUGAUCCCAUACAAAUGAGGAAUGGAAUUUCAUAAUGACGGAUGGUUAAGUUCAAUUGUUAAUUUGUCAAAUAUAACUAAGGAUUUAGUGAGUAAUUGGAGAAUCGGAAAUAGUUGGUAACAAAAAAAAUAUUAGCCAAAACAUGGUAGGUUUCUUUGGCAUAUAUAUCUGGAAUUCUUAUAUUCAAAUGAACUGUAUCAUGUUCUUAAUUUUACACAUUGCUGCUAAAACAUUUGAAAUUCAAUGAGGUUUGAGUGGAACAUGGAUAUGAUAUUGAGUAUAAAGAUGAAUUGUAGUUUUUAAGUUUAACUUUGUUUCUUUUUUCUUACUAUCAUCUGCCAAUGUUAUCUCAUGUUUGUGCAGAAUAAGUUCUGGAUAUUGGAGAUUGUUAACAGAUAAUUACUUUUAGGUUAUUUGAACAAAGAACAAGAUGGAGACUUGGCAUUACAGAUGAAGAUCAAUGCAUGUUACUCUUGGAUUUUCCAAUGUAAAAAAGUUCACAAAUGUUUCCGAAACAAUUAUGUAUGAUCUAAAGGAAGGAAGUUUAAGAGGGCUAGAGGAAGGAGGAACAGCAAAGGGCUUAGGAUUUAAGUCGUAUUGUUUUUGUAUUUUUCUUUAGUUUUUAGUUUUGGAAUUUGAACUCGAGAUUUAUUUUGUAUUUGAGUAUUAGUUUUUAAUGUAUAAAACAAUUAUAGCAAAAAUUAUAUAUGUCACUAAUUAUUAUU